rnacentral:lncRNA from 10 species
AAUCAGUGUCUGCUGGGCAGAUUGCCAGGCUGGCCAUCUGUGUUGUGCUUGGUUGCUAGGGCACAGGCAGGGAGCUGUGUAGUGUCUUGCUUUCACCCUACCCUCAAAAGCCUGAAGCAAUGACAAAGGCUGUUCAAAGUGCUGAGGAACCAAGGAAAUGUACAUAUUUGGCUUAAUUCAUAAAACUGUCAUUGAAGGCCAGCUAAGAAGACGAAGAUUUUUGUCCAGGAUCUGCAGCUGUGAGACCACAGAAAGUUUGUUGACUCAUGACCUAGAUGACUGCAAGAGCCUACAAUGAAGUCCCUCUGCAAACAGAAGCAAAAGGCACAGUCUGCUCCUCCUAAAGCAAGUCCACAUCUCUACUCCAGAAAAGAGCAAACUAUUUACAACUAUUUAAAUACAGCCUUUUCAUCUUAAAAAUUACAUUAAGUUUCUGGAAUUCUGAUAUACCCAAUUCCAAUUCUGGAGGCUGGCAAGUUCAAGAUCAAGGUGCCAGAAGAUUUGGUGUUUGGAUGGUCAUUUUCUGCUGCUAUGGCCCAGUUUGUGCCUUCAAGGACUGACUGUGUAAAAAAGAGCCCAGAAACUCUUUGAACUGACUUACAGUAGCUUCUUCAGCAGUCAGCUGUAACGAUGGCUGGAGCACCUGGUACCUGAGUGAGGGCCAAGAAUGGGCUCUGCAUGUGCCCUCCCUCAACAAUUGCCCACCACCCAUUCUCACACAAAUGCAGUGGGGGAUGAACCUGUAGGGAUGGGUAAUCAGCCUGAAAGGAACAAUUUUGCAUAUGUGUAAAAUCUGAAAAAAUAAAUUAUUAUUCAUGGGAAACAUGCCACUAAUAUGAUAGAGAAGAAAAAGUUUGAUAUUUGGUGUCUGAACAUUUGGGUGUUUCCAGACCUAUCUCUGCCAUUUACUCUAUGAUUAAGACUUCACGACAUAAGUUUUCUGAGUCUCAUCUUCCCACCUCUUAAAGGUGCCUAAUGACAAUACCUGAAACCACUUUGCCAUAAAACAUUUACUGCAUAUUGUCAAUGCAUACUAGGUAUGAUACUAGGCACCAGCAAUAUAAAAACAAAUGAAAUGUGGCACCUGCUCUCAAGACUUGAAAGAAGCUAUAAUGUAAAGCAUCGAACUACAGGAGAAAAGUGGGAAUCUUUCCUUUUUCACAUCCAUAGUCACUAAGGCCAUUUGUCGACUGAGCAAAUGUAUAGUACAGAAAGCUGUUAGACUAAUAUCUAGUGAUUAAACUGUACUUAAGGGAGAGAAUGGCCUUUAAGUAGCAAAAAUCUCUCAUGGGUUAUUUUGUUAUUUAAAAGUGGCACUGGCGAGGGCUAGGAUAAAACAGUUAAACAGUUUUACCCAGGAAAUAAACCACAAUAUUGGAGAAGGAGGUUUAAAGUACUAGAAAAGAGAGAAGGAGGAAGAGAAAUAGUAAGAAUGCAGGCUGAGCUGAAAUAAUUUCCAUGAUCAGCUGUAAAGUUGCACACUUUUACAUGCAUACUCUGAUGUUGGAUUGUCAGUAAAAGUCUGCUAUCCACAAUUAUUAUCUUUGAGUUUGGGGAAAAUAAAUUAAAAGGAAAUGUUUGCCAAUCAUUGAUGAAUGGCAGUGGGAGAAGUGAAGAGAUGGAGAAUAAGAGAGACCUGAACCAGGGCCGGAAUCCCUGGAGUCCUCAUAGAACAUUAUAGGACAUUGAGAUCCCACCAUCUGUAGAAUAGGGUUUUAAGCCAAUGUAUACCUUAAUUGUGAUAAACAAGGGGAUCCCUGCAAGCUGAAGAUCCAGGGAACAGGUGGAGACAGACACAGAAGAAAUGAGGAAAUUAAUGAAUAAAAAGUCAAGAGCAUGAGAGGAAGGUAGACAUGACUUUGAAGGAAAGUCAGGCAAGAAUGUAUGGUUAUACUCUGUUGUCAGCAGGGAAUUACUUUAUAAAGUAGAAAGAGAAGCCCAAAGAGCAUCUUUUCCCCAGGGUAUAGUCAAGAGAAGAGAAGAGAUGGAAAGCCAUUUGGAAAAAGUGAUGGGGAAUUCAGGCAUCGGGUCAACACCAAGGUAAGUGGGAAGAACUCAGUGGGCCUGGCAUUGCUGGCAUAAAGAGAAGGUCCCUGAGGGCAGAAGGACACCUUCCAGACAGACCUGCUGUUUCUCCAAAGGGGUGCUUGCUUCACAUCCUUAUAUAUUUUUUUCCAGUCUUUACCUGAUGCCUGAGACCUGGCCCUUCUAAUUCUUUACACUGAAAGACCAGAAAAUUUUUUAAAAGAGAAAAAGAAAGAAAGAUAAAGAAAAAAGAAAGAAAGACAAGCAUAGCAUUUAUAGAAACAUGAGAACUUCUGCAGGGGUGCAGACCCAUCUUUGAAAAUGAUUCUUUGGAAGAGGCCUUUAGUGCCAAAUACUUGAGUUGCUGCCAGUCUGUUAUGACUCCUUCUUUAUCAUUUCCCCUCACAUGAGGCAGAUCGAGACAGAUCCACAUUCCUUCCCCUGUGUUUGGGGCCCACUCUCAGUCAUUGUCAGCUGCUGGUUUGCUGAGGUUCUUGGGGUUGAAAAAAUCCACCUGGUGGCUCCAUCUCUGUUUGCUGCAACAUUUAUGUAGAUGGGGUGUCAUCUGGGAGUCAUGGCAGCAGAGACACAACAAACAAAAGCAACCCACUGGCUUCCAGGGUGAACAGCAAAUUCCUCUUUAGCUCCCUAGAAUGUUUAUGGAGUAGCUGAGUAGCCACACAUCCUUGAUCCUCCAAAGCCAGAUAGUGGGCAGCUGUUGCAAAUUCUUUCUGAAGAGCUUAUACAUAAAAUAAUUCUUGCUGAACUUAACCAUAUCACCAUGAAAAAGGACAUUAAUCUCAUUUAUGAGGGCUCCACCUUAAUGAUCUAAUCGCCUCCCAGAAGCCCCACUUCCAAAUACCAUCACACUGGGGAUUAGCUUUCAACAUAUCAACUUUAGGGGGACACAAACAUUCAGAGUGUAGCAAUCCCUGUGCCCACUUUUUUUCCUCUAGGAUGGUCAUAUCACCAAAUGGUCUUCUGCUGCCAUUUGGUGAUAACUGUCCCUCUAUGUUCUCUCUUCCUUCCUUUCCUCCUUUCUCCUUUCUUCUUUCCUUCCUUCCUUCUUCCUUUCUCCUUUCUUCUUUCCUUCCUUCCUUCUUCCUUCCUUCCUAUGAAUUGAGCAACUAGUAGAUGCUAGGUCCUAUGAUUAGAAAUGAGAAUGUUACCAAGAACAAGGACAUUAUCUUUAUCCUCAUGGAACUCAGAGUUGAAUUGAAGAAAACAGCACACACAUGACCAAUAGAGAAAACACAGGCUAUGAAAAAAGGAAGAGUGAUUCCCUAAUCAAGCCAUGGGCUUUCAGGGAAAGCCUCCAUGAGGUAGUCAGGUCUGAGAUGGGCUUUAAAAAAAAAAAAGUCAAACAAAUGGAGAAAUGGUGAACAGGUAUCUUCCUGGAACACGGUACAUGUGCAGCCAUGAAGGAUCGAGAAAACCCAAGGCAUAUUUGAGGGCUGCCCAGCCAUGCAGGUGUAGAGUAUGCUUAUGUCUGAGGGGUGGGGCUUAGGCCCAGGCAGAAGUGAGACCAUAAAAUCAACUAAACAUGCAUUAAAGAUUGAAACCUAAGACCUGGAGCCAUAAAAUGCCUAAAAGAAAACAUGAAGGGGAAAAGCUUCAUGACCUUGGACUUGGCAAUAAUUUUUUGGACGUGACAUCAAAAGCGCAAGCAACAAAAGCAAAAUCAAACAAGUGAGACUGAACUAAAAUCUUCUGCACAGCGAAAGAAACAAUCAACAGAGUAAAAAGGCAACAUACAGAAUGGGAGAAAAUAUUUGCAAACCAAAGAUCUGACAAGGUAUUUAUAUCUAAGAUAUGUAAGAAACUCAAACAACUCAAUAGCAAAAUAAAUAAAUAAAUAACGAUUUAAAAAUGGGCAAAGGACUUGAGUAGACAUUUCUCCAAAGAUGACAUACAAAUGGCCAAUAGGUAUAUGAAAACAUGCUCACUAUCAUUAAUCAUCAGAGAAUGCAAUCAAAAGUACAAUAAAAUAUCAACUAUUAGAAUGUCUAUUAUCAGAAAAAAGAUAAAUGUUGGCAAGAAUAUAGAGAAAUUGGAACCCUUGUACACUGUUGGGAAUGUAAAAAUGGUGCAGUUGCUGUGGAAAAUAGUGUGAAGUUCCCUCAAAAAAUUAAACAUGGAAUUACUAUGUGGCCUAGCCCUCUCACUUCUAGGUAUAUAUCCAAAAGAAUUAAAAUUAAG